rfam:Schistosoma rodhaini strain Burundi genome assembly, scaffold: SROB_scaffold0002214
GCACUGCUGAAGAGUCCCAUACUAGAACUAAAUGGCCAUCCAGUGC